rnacentral:tRNA from 7 species
GACUCCGUAGCUCAACUGGAUAGAGCGUCAGCCUCCGGAGCUGAAGGUUGGUGGUUCGAGCCCACUCGGAGUCGCCA